rnacentral:rRNA from 1 species
GAUGAACGCUGGCGGCGUGCCUAAUACAUGCAAGUCGAGCGAACGGACGAGAAGCUUGCUUCUCUGAUGUUAGCGGCGGACGGGUGAGUAACACGUGGAUAACCUACCUAUAAGACUGGGAUAACUUCGGGAAACCGGAGCUAAUACCGGAUGAUAUUUUGAACCGCAUGGUUCAAAAGUGAAAGACGGUCUUGCUGUCACUUAUAGAUGGAUCCGCGCUGCAUUAGCUAGUUGGUAAGGUAACGGCUUACCAAGGCAACGAUGCAUAGCCGACCUGAGAGGGUGAUCGGCCACACUGGAACUGAGACACGGUCCAGACUCCUACGGGAGGCAGCAGUAGGGAAUCUUCCGCAAUGGGCGAAAGCCUGACGGAGCAACGCCGCGUGAGUGAUGGAGGUCUUCGGAUCGUAAAACUCUGUUAUUAGGGAAGAACAUAUGUGUAAGUAACUGUGCACAUCUUGACGGCACCUAAUCAGAAAGCCACGGCUAACUACGUG